rnacentral:rRNA from 1 species
GACGAACGCUGGCGGCGUGCUUAACACAUGCAAGUCGAACGGUGAAGCUCCAGCUUGCUGGAGUGGAUCAGUGGCGAACGGGUGAGUAACACGUGAGCAACCUGCCCCUGACUCUGGAAUAAGCGCUGGAAACGGCGUCUAAUACUGGAUACGAGAAGCUUCCGCAUGGGCACUUUCUGGAAAGUUUUUCGGUUGGGGAUGGGCUCGCGGCCUAUCAGCUUGUUGGUGAGGUAAUGGCUCACCAAGGCGACGACGGGUAGCCGGCCUGAGAGGGCGACCGGCCACACUGGGACUGAGACACGGCCCAGACUCCUACGGGAGGCAGCAGUGGGGAAUAUUGCACAAUGGGGGAAAGCCUGAUGCAGCGACGCCGCGUGAGGGAUGACGGCCUUCGGGUUGUAAACCUCGUUCGGCAGGGAAGAAGCGAAAGUGACGGUACCUGGAGAAGAAGCACCGGCUAACUACGUG